CCUACGGGUGGCAGCAGUGGGGAAUAUUGUACAAUGGGGGGAACCCUGAUCCAGCCAUGCCGCGUGUGUGAAGAAGGCCCUCGGGUUGUAAAGCACUUUCAGUGAGGAAGAACGCCUGGUGGUUAAUACCCAUCAGGAAAGACAUCACUCACAGAAGAAGCACCGGCUAACUCCGUGCCAGCAGCCGCGGUAAUACGGAGGGUGCGAGCGUUAAUCGGAAUUACUGGGCGUAAAGCGCGCGUAGGUGGCUUGAUAAGCCGGUUGUGAAAGCCCCGGGCUCAACCUGGGAACGGCAUCCGGAACUGUCAAGCUAGAGUGCAGGAGAGGAAGGUAGAAUUCCCGGUGUAGCGGUGAAAUGCGUAGAGAUCGGGAGGAAUACCAGUGGCGAAGGCGGCCUUCUGGACUGACACUGACACUGAGGUGCGAAAGCGUGGGUAGCAAACAGGAUUAGAUACCCCGGUAGUC
rnacentral:rRNA from 1 species